CAUUCAUCCUGAAUGGUUCAUGCAACGAUUAAGGUUAGGUAUUCAUCCUGAAUGGUUCAUGCAACGAUUAAGGUUAGUCAUUCAUCCUGAAUGGUUCAUGCAACGAUUAAGGUUAGGCAUUCAUCCUGAAUGGUUCAUGCAACGAUUAAGGUUUGGCAUUCAUCCUGAAUGGUUCAUGCAACGAUUAAGGUUAGGCAUUCAUUCUGAAUGGUUCAUGCAACGAUUAAGGUUUGGCAUAGGCUUAAAACAAAAUAUAAAAAACAACUUUAUAUCACUGGAUUCGAACAUGCAACCUUUGACCCUUUGGAACCACAGACAGAUGCUUAUGCUCAUCUACAAUGCCCUAGAAAAGCCAAAACCUACUUUACGGUAACAGCUGUUGGGCGGCACGGAGGGAGCCGGCUGUGGAGCGCACCACUGUUGGCCUGCACGGAGGGAGCCGGCUGUGGAGCGCACCACUGUUGGCCUGCACGGAGGGAGCCGGCUGUGGAGCGCACCACUGUUGGCCUGCACGGAGGGAGCCGGCCGUGGAGCGCACCACUGUUGGCCUGCACGGAGGGAGCCGGCCGUGGAGCGCACCACUGUUGGCCUGCAUGGAGGGAGCCGGGGCCAGGUUGGCACGUCAGAGAUGGAGGCUAGAGGCAGAGGCAAUAGGGUUAUGUAACCAGUCCUUCCUGUUGUGUCAGAACGACCGGGUGUGGUGGGGGGUCUGAGAGAGAGAAAGGGAGAGGGAACGAGGGCCUUUGUGGCUGAUUUUCUCUUAUUUCCGGCUCUUUUUUUUGCCCUUCCCUCCCUCCCCUCUUCCAUGCAUGUAGCGGUUGAUUGCACCACAGUAUCCCCAUCAGGCAACUUAAUGGCUGUAGAUGAGACAGCCCUAACUGUAGAGCCAUUUCCUGGCCACCUGAUAGCUGGAGACACGCAGCCAACCUGGGGGAAAGGGUUGAGGGGGACACCAACUAGGGCUGAGGGGGACACCAACUAGGGCUGGGAGAUAUCGUCAACAUUUUUGACGGUAUGAUGGCAUUUGAC
ensembl:lncRNA